GUAUUGAAUCUUGGUGGGGAAUUAAUGUGAAAUUCAUUAGCUGUUCCUGCAACGGAUAAAGUCCGAGUGCCACCCAAUAU
ncrna:unclassified sequences AdoCbl variant RNA